AACAAUUAUAUCAUUCUACUCCUCGUGACUAAUAUCCAGUAGCAUCUCGAAUUGAUCGCGAAUGUUCUAUUGAAGAUCGUACAUACAUCGAACGUACUAUCAAAACGAUAAAAAUGACGAGCGACUGUUUUUCGCAAAAUAACGUAAAUAUUCUACAACAAUUCUUAUUUCUGUUUCAAAUGUCUACACGCUAAGUGCAGUAAAACGAAUAGAAUAAUUCAAUAGCCGGAUCUCUGUAGUAGUCAGGUAUCUAGAUUUUUUUGGGUUUUAAAACAGUACAUGAAGUCAAAGGUUAUGUAAUCAAGUAAUAUAAUUGCAAUAAGAAACAAACAAAUAAGAAACAAAGCUGUGAUCUAAGAUAGAAUAUCGUAGAAUACAAAAAAUGAAACGUUUGUAUUCAUAUUUUAGAUUAAUACAUAUAUUUUAUUAAAAUUAUCCUAAUGCAAAUACAUAAUCCUAGUACAAAUAAAAUAUUUUGAAACUUACAAAAUAGCAUAAUAUAUGAAUAAUAAUAUGAAUAACUAAUAUUUUCUCUAUUGUACAUAGGGCCUUAUCGUAUUAGGUUAGAAAAAAUUGGUAGCAGUCAGAAAAAUAGAUUUAACAAUCAGUAAAGUAGUACGCACAAUAGUGGGCAGUUGGUCUUUUUCUGUUGCAUUGAAUCGGAAAGUCUAAAAAAUUUACGAUGGUUAGUAAGAUAGAUCGCGCAGUGUUCAGCAAAAUAAUGUACACAGUAGCCAGUAGAGUGCGCCAGUAGUGCGCAAUUGCUUGGCGCGAAGAAUUUUCGUUUGCGCGGUCUCUUUUCAUCGCACGACUUGGAACAUGGACGUUUUACUGUGUUAGCGCAUAUUUUAUUCGUAUUAAAAAUGUACAAUAAGUAUGAAUUUUUGUCGAGAGUGCCGGUUAAAGUGACGCUGUGAGUGUCGGAACAUAUUAUUUAUCGUUAAUCGAAUGCGAUGAUUAACAUUUUAUUGAAAAUCUGAUGGUUGAGCCGUGGAUUCAAACACAGGUUAAAGUUCUGUGUAUGUGAUAUGUGCGGGUUAACUUUUAUCUAGUAGAUGCGAAAUGACUAGCGAUGAUGCGAGAUGUUUCAGUUUCCAGUAUUGAUUUCUCGAUAGAGCUGAUAGGAUACAACGAUCGAUAAACUUUGCGCGCGUAAUCGGUGCUACGAAAUAUAUUCGUUCCGUCGUAUAAUACAAACAAAAUGCGCGUCGGGAGUGCCGUUAAUGCCGGGAGUUGUAGCGAAUCUAUAGAUAAACGCAUUUCCGCCGUAUGCCAUGACAAAUAUUGGGACACGAUUUUUUCUCGACUUUGGGCUUGGCUCGGGGGGAGGGAAAGAUUGGUUUUUAUCAUGAGAUCCCGACUGGAUCCCGACUCCUUCGGUCCGCUAACAUAUGCCGGAAAGCAUGGGGUUGCUUAAUUGCAACUGUGAAACAUGAUGGACGGCAUAGAAAUCAAUCCAGCGACUUCCGUUAGUUUGGCACCAAAAUGCUGCUGGGAUGCUCUGUAUCCGAUCGGUUGACCCCGUGACUAAUCGCACCUUACCUUCGUCGAGCUUACCUUUGCCCUCUGUUUUGAGAGAAUCGUGCCCCAAUUGGUAAAUGUGGUGGUCUGAAACGCGGAAGGAAUUCACGCGUAACGUCACAGCUUGGACAAUUCGGUUCGAUUCGCCUGUGACGUCGGGAGUGCCAUUUUAAGUAUCGCGCGAUUUUCGCAUUCAGGUACGCGCGCGAGCAAUGCGUGCGCCGCGAACGCGUGUGAGUGCUCGAAGGACCGCUGU